UUCGCCCUUAGAGUUUGAUCCUGGCUCAGGACGAACGCUGGCGGCGUGCCUAACACAUGCAAGUCGAGCGAAGUGCCUUGGACUGAAUUUUUCGGAAUGACGUCCUUGGUAUCUUAGCGGCGGAUGGGUGAGUAACGCGUGAGAAACCUGCCUCUUACAAAGGGAUAGCCUCGGGAAACCGGGAUUAAUACCUUAUGACACUGUUUUACCGCAUGGUUUAACAGUUAAAGCGCAAAGCGGUAAGAGAUGGUCUCGCGUCCCAUUAGUUAGUUGGUGAGGUAGAAGCUCACCAAGACGACGAUGGGUAGCCGGCCUGAGAGGGUGAACGGCCACACUGGAACUGAGACACGGUCCAGACUCCUACGGGAGGCAGCAGUGGGGAAUCUUGCACAAUGGAGGAAACUCUGAUGCAGCGACGUCGCGUGAAUGAUGAAGGCCUUCGGGUCGUAAAAUUCUGUCCUAAGGGAAGAUAAUGACGGUACCUUAGGAGGAAGCACCGGCUAACUACGUGCCAGCAGCCGCGGUAAUACGUAGGGUGCAAGCGUUGUCCGGAAUUACUGGGCGUAAAGGGUUCGCAGGCGGCCUUUUAAGUCAGGCGUUAAAGAUCAUGGCUCAACCAUGGUAUGCGCUUGAAACUGGAAGGCUUGAGUCAAGGAGAGGAAAGUGGAAUUCCUAGUGUAGCGGUGAAAUGCGUAGAUAUUAGGAGGAAUACCAGUGGCGAAGGCGACUUUCUGGACUUGUACUGACGCUGAGGAACGAAAGCAUGGGUAGCAAACAAGGUUAGAUACCCUGGUAGUCCAUGCCGUAAACGAUGAGUGCUAGGUGUCGGGUGUCAAAGCUCGGUGCCGGAGUUAACGCAUUAAGCACUCCGCCUGGGGAGUACGUACGCAAGUAUGAAACUCAAAGGAAUUGACGGGGACCCGCACAAGCAGCGGAGCAUGUGGUUUAAUUCGAAGCAACGCGAAGAACCUUACCAGGACUUGACAUACUAGUGACAGGUAUAGAGAUAUACCCUCCCUUCGGGGCACUAAUACAGGUGGUGCAUGGUUGUCGUCAGCUCGUGUCGUGAGAUGUUGGGUUAAGUCCCGUAACGAGCGCAACCCUUAUUUCUAGUUGCUAGCAGGUUAAGCUGGGCACUCUAGAGAGACUGCCGAUGAUAAAUCGGAGGAAGGUGGGGAUGACGUCAAAUCAUCAUGCCCUUUAUGUCCUGGGCUACACACGUGCUACAAUGGUUGGAACAGAGAGCUGCAAGACUGCGAAGUUAAGCGAAUCUCACAAAUCCAAUCUCAGUUCGGAUUGUAGGCUGCAACUCGCCUACAUGAAGCCGGAGUUGCUAGUAAUCGCAGAUCAGAGUGCUGCGGUGAAUGCAUGCCCGGGUCUUGCACACACCGCCCGUCA
rnacentral:rRNA from 1 species